rnacentral:lncRNA from 1 species
CUUCCAUCAAUAAAAUUACCGGUCUUGUAUCAGUCAAACCAAACAAACCAUUAACCUGCAGAAAACAAAGCCCCCCCUUCUCCCUCCUCUCUCUCGACUUACGAUUGAACCAGACGUUGGAGGCGAUGGUCUCUGUCUUCGCGGUCCAGGUGUUGAAGUAGUCGAGAAUCGUCUCUAUGGGGCUGCUGGUCGACUUGUCCACUGGCGUGCGGUCCAGGAGAUACGGCGGCGGCACGUCCUCGUGCGUGGGGAUCGCUGAGGCGGCCUGCUGGUUGUGCGGGUGCGUCGACGGCGCCGCCGGCGGACCCAUGUGCCUCGUCUCCCACUUAUCCUCCCCAACCCCCGCCGUCGACGGCGCCGGAGGAGGCUGCUGGUUGCCCUCCGCCAUGGCUAGAACUCGCAAGAGGAUGAUGAACCAACCGCCUGAGAUGACAAGAGAUGGAAGAAACUUGCCCGAAGAAGAAGGCAGAAGGAUGCGCCAACCGUUCCAGAUGACAAGGGAAGGAACCGAC